rnacentral:sRNA from 1 species
ACCAUAAAAUAGAUCACUCAAUUUUGAAUAUAUUUGAGAAAAAAAACCCAAAGAAAAGAAGAAAGAAUACCAACACAUGUUGGCAUCAGACGUCUCUUGACACAAACUUAGUUGUUUUUGUUUUCGUUGAUCGACCACUAUCACAACACAACAACAAGGAAUAGCUGUUUACCUUUUCUUUUUACUUGAUGCAAGCACUUCACUUUUCAUCUGUAGUGUUAAUUAAAAAAAGACUAUUACUAAAUUGAAUAACUUACAAUAUGGGUGGAGAAGGGAAAACUCCUCCGCCACAACCAGUUCCUCCCCCCGCUGAAAAAAGGAAAGCUCAAAUCUUGGCAAGGGAAUAAAAAGUUUAAAAGACACCAACGGUUAUCCAAAUUUCUGUAGACAACAUUCUGUCCACUUCCAUACAAAAUAAAAUAUCUGCAAAUUACCAAGUUCAAGUUGAAAAGUCAAGUCUGCAAAUGUAAAACAGUCUCAAAAUCCAAAUAAUAACAUGAAUCCAAAUCAAAUAGAACAUGCCGCAAUAGUUCAGCAAAUACCACAAUAAACCCUAAACCCUACCCAUCUUUGUUCUUCUCACCUCCGACCCACCCAUACCCUGCCCAUACUUUGUUCUUCUCACCUCCGACCCACCAUUUAGUUCAAGAAGGAAAAUUUGCGAACUUCACUUGUACGCUCGAUUUCAAAAAAAUUCCAAAUAACUAACACCCCAAGCUUGUUGAAAUAGGGCUGAAAGCGGAAAUCCCUGAUAGAUUUGUACAAAGGUUUUAUGUCGCCAAAAAUGUCUCCAUCUCCAUAGAUGAGGAGUUUCGGGAUUCGAUUGAAACUAAUACCGCCAUGGACGUUCUUUCUGUAUAUUGCUUUAUGUGAAAAAAUGACAAAACACUGAUGUCACAACUGAAACGGUAAAAAUUGGAAUCAUUUAUGAUGGUGCCCCUUCAGAAAUUUUUAUGAGCAGCGCCGGAAUUAUCCCCGAACUGUAUGUAGCUGUAUGUGGAAUAUUGCAAGUCGUUGUCGCUCCAUAGGAUAAUAACUGGGGUGAAAUAUGGCGUAAUUGGCGCUCCUGAAGCCAAGAGAAUCCAUCAAGUCGCUAGUAAUUUGAAAACCGAACCGGCUAUGCCAAUAUACAGCCAUUCCAAAUUCAUCAAGGUCUACGAUCUGGAAAAACCCGUAUCUGAAUUAGCCAACCAAAUGUUUAAAGUACUCACCUUAUUAAAUAGCUCAGAAGGUUUCGACAUCCCCCAGCGCUUUCGAAAAAGCCAUAAAUCCAGAUUCACGCGCAAGCCAUAAAACUUCAACAAAAAACAAUGUUUGGAACCUCCAAUCUUCACAGAAAAAAUAUAGAUCUAAAUUUGACCGAUUAAAUAUGUAUUGACUUAUAAAAAUCUUUUCAAAUAUGGUGUUAAUUGCUAUUAUUAUUUUUGAUAUUUUUUGUUUCACGGCAAAGGAUUGAUAAAGAAUUCAUACGCUAAAUAAACAUUUAAAUCCCUUUUACAUUGCUCAUUAAAUCCGGAUUUAAAGUUCUCGUCAGCUGAUUUUAUAAAGGGAUAACAGAUGAUAGAGCCAUUAAAUUCGGAUUUAAAGGGAAUUGUAAACGGCGUUUUAAUUGUACUAAUCAAAUUGUUAUUUAAUAUAAUAAAUUGUGUAUUAACCGAUAUUAUAUUGUGUACCCUUUCCCGUUUAUGAAACGCGAAAAGAAUCAUAUAUAUACAGAGGCAAAGUAGCGUGGCUAAAAAAAAAAAAUCAAGGAAAUUAGAAGUGUAGCUAUCCCUACACGGAUAGCUGUGAGCACCACACAGGCUGUUACGUGUGCCUAUUGCAGCUUGGGGAUAUUUUCCGGGCACCGGCUAGCUUCGUUGACAUCUCUGGGGAGGUCCCAACCCUAUAUCCUCGCCCUAGGCCCGUAGACAAUAAAAAAAACGAUAUACAUUCAAACACAAAAAAAAACGUUACUUACACCUGAACUUUCACAUUCCAUUUGUUUUGGGAGAUCGUCCUAUGACCUCCGGCCGCCCGCCCUACCUUGGUCAACAUUCCAUCAUAUUCAUGUGACCCCACAAAC